GCCAGUCCGCGGCCUAAACGUUCCGUCACACAGGCGCGUUUUUCGGGCGGGACGUGAGCGUUUUGUAUUAAAAGCGGCGCGUCCUGUGUCCUGUGUGACGAAGCCUUUAAUAGAGUUCCGUAGGUCUUAAUAGGGAAGCCUUAUAAUUUCGUCAUGUCUAUCCGUCCGUCUGUCUGUCUAUCGGUCUGUUAGUCUUUAUAAACCCCUGACGCAAAAAGAGGGGUAAUUAAAGUUUCACGUGUCUUGUGUCUGUCUGUGACAUCUAAACGGAUGGACCGCUUUUUUAAUCGAGAUGAUUCUUAGCUAAAUUGUAUCAAAAUCUGUUUAGCCUUUUUUGAGAUAUUGAAGUAAGUAUACAAGUACGUUCCCUACAGGUGGCAUUAAAAAAUCCUAAACUGUAUAAGUAACAAAUUGUUGUUUUCACACGUAACACUAAAUAUUCGAAACCUUUGUAAACAAACUUAGUUAUGCAGUUACCACAAAGCUUUCUCGGUAUUAAUUGUGUAUCCACUAUAUUGUCUUUAUUUAUUUUCUGAUUCUUAUUCAUAGGAAAUCGAUAUAACAACAAUUUUGAACGAUAAUAACCACGGUAAACUAGUUUUGGCACGUUUGAAAACGUGCAAGAAGCUCGACGCUACUUUUAGAUCCCAUCUAACCAAAAGUAUUGUUGAGUGGUACCUUAAGCAUUACGAAUGCAUGAAAUAGGAAGAUUUUAUGGUUAUAGCUGAAGCAAUUCAAGUCUUUAUUCCCACGGAAUUAAAGGAGACAUACUACAUACCUGGUUUGAAAUACAACAACAAAUAUAGACCUGCCAAAGGAAAACUGAUAGAUAGGUAUAAUAAUCAAAGGAGACUAUUAAAACGAGAAGGUGUUCUUGGCCGGAAAAGAAAACUUCAAAUUGAAAAUAUUGAUCAGGAACAUUCAGACAUUGAAGAAGACGAGGAAACCGUUAUAUGGCUUCAGUACAACAAAGAGCCGUUUCAAGAAGUAAAAGAUAAAUGGCUGCAAACUAGAAAAUAUCGCAUACAAACAGAUUACAAAAACUCCACCAAAAAUACCCCUUGUUAAAGCAGAGUUUUGGCUUUCAGCUUAUUGAGUUGGACUUUGAAUACAGCCAUCCUAAAAGGGACAUCUCACUGUUUGUGAAGUUUCCAGAGUUUUUAGAAAAAGCUAAUGCUGCUUUUAUUGGCGUGAAAGUAUUUCAAGAUUUGAAGAUCCUCUUCAACAACACAACACAAGAAGACACGAAAACAUUUAUUGCUUUGUCCCUACUUUGUGGGAAACUUGUCCCGACUGUCGGCAGAUCUGAUAAUAGAAGGAAAGAUAAAGACGAAAAGCGCUCGUCAAAGGAUUCGGCUGAACAAAAAAAAUAUAACAAACCGACCAUAUUAGAAUCACGUGACAGCUUGAUAUUGCAUGUGAAGACUCAGAGUGACAUUCAGAAUUGCCUUGCAACACGUCGGGAUAUCCACCUUAAGAAAGGACUCACAUGCCAACCAGUGGUAAUUUGCGUCGGGCCAGACGUCGAAAAUAUUACGGAGUUCUACGUCACUUACCAGCUGGAGUCUCUUUUAAAAGCUGUUGAAAUUUGCUUCAAAACCUUUCAUGUAUUUGAUAUAAAAUAUCCCCGCGAGAGUAUUCAGCCGUGGAUGUUCAUACAACGGUACUUUUAUGAAAUUCACACGCCACAAGAUCAUACAUUUCCGAGUGUUGCCACUUUAAUUGCAGAUUUAAUGUAAGUUACUAUCAAUGUUUCUUUAGUGAAAAUGACGUUUAAUUGCUUUAUCUGUAAUUCCGAGUUAAAAUCCCUGAAAGGUUUGUUUUUACAUUUUGACUUGAAACAUAUAGUGUACAUGCAGGUUCAUACAGGUUUACAUAUAAGUAGGAAUCAACUACCUCAUUUGGUACAAAAUUAUUAAUAUCUGCAAUUAAGGCGGCAUCACUCGGUUUAUGUUCUUCUCUCAAAACUCUGGCACUCUGCUUCAACAUUUAAUGUACCGUUAGAAAAUAGUACUGUUUUACAACUUUCAAACGCUAUCAUUUCUGUGUUUUAUAUAAAUUUUGGUAUAUAGGCGCCACUAUCUAUAGAGCAAUAGGGCACUUUUCAGCCGUCCUAAUAUAAGGAAAAAUAGGGGCUAUUCCCACUAGUUACCACCAAGCUGUUACCAGUGGUAACUACUGGGAUUUUUUUCUCCACCUUUUACCCUUUUUGUUAAAGUUCAAACCUAAUAAAAACAGUUAAAAUUGUAUCGUAUAAAUACAGAGUAGUUUAAUAAAUAAUGAUAUGUCCAUUAGUGUUCCAGUAAACUGCCUUAAAGUGAUAAAUAAUAGUUGGUUUUUAACUGAUUUGUAUGUUCGUCCGUAUAAUUAAUUCGAGUUACAAUUAAUAAGAUAAAUCUCAUUCAAGCGUUAAUUUCUCAUUGACUAUUUUAGUUUUUGCACUUGCACGGGUAAAACUGUUUUUAUUUUUAUUUUUAAUCACUUUUAAGGCAGUUCACUGAAACACUAAUCGGCUUAAGUAUAAUUAUUUAUUAAAGUACAAUAUACACAGCGUGUUUGGUACAUCGUUUGCCAAAUUAAAACGGCAGAUAGGUUGAGUCAUUUGCUAUCUUCUCAGGCCUAGAAAUGUUUAAUUUGGUGCAAAAAAAAUUCUUCCCUUCUAUGACAGUUUUUCGUACUUAAAUUUCAAAUUUUUACUUUCGUAGUUGUAAAAAAAACCAUGGCCAAUUUUGUUUUUCUAGGCAUGAGAACAUAGCAAAUGACUCAAGCUAUCUGCCGUUUUAAUUUGGCAAACGAUGUACCAAACACUCUGUAUAUACAACAGUAUAUACAGGAUGAUCAAUCCAAAUGGGUCAGUAUGGAGAAGUCAGAAACUAUAAGAGAUAGCGAAAUCUGUUCUUAGGAACCAUGGCUUCGAUUUUAGAUUUAAU